AAGUCGUAACAAGGUUUCCGUAGGUGAACCUGCGGAAGGAUCAUUAAUGAGUUAGGGUCUUCUGGGCCCGAUCUCCAACCCUUUGUAUAAUUACCAUGUUGCUUUGGCGGGCCCGUCUUUAACUAGACCGCCGGGAGGCUUUUUCGCCCCUGGCCAGUGCUCGUCAAUAGCCCUUGACAAAUUCUUUUUAACCAUGUUAAAUCUGAAAAUAGUUAAAUAAACUAAAACUUUCAACAACGGAUCUCUUGGUUCUG
rnacentral:misc_RNA from 1 species